rnacentral:rRNA from 1 species
CGAAGGGUCCUAGCGUUGUUCGGAAUCAUUGGGCGUAAAGCGGGUGUAGGCGGCCAAUUAAGUCAGAAGUGAAAGCCCUGGGCUCAACCCGGGAAGUGCUUUUGAAACUGAUUGGCUUGAGUGUGGGAGAGGAUAGUAGAAUUCCUGGUGUAGUGGUGAAAUACGUAGAUAUCAGGAGGAAUACCGGUGGCGAAGGCGGCUAUCUGGCCCAACACUGACGCUCAGACCCGAAAGCGUGGGGAGCAA